UACGUAGGGUGCAAGCGUUGUCCGGAAUUCUUGGGCGUAAAGAGCUCGUAGGCGGUUUGUCGCGUCUGCUGUGAAAACUCGGGGCUUAACCCCGGGCCUGCAGUGGGUACGGGCAGACUAGAGUGCGGUAGGGGAGACUGGAAUUCCUGGUGUAGCGGUGAAAUGCGCAGAUAUCAGGAGGAACACCGGUGGCGAAGGCGGGUCUCUGGGCCGUAACUGACGCUGAGGAGCGAAAGCGUGGGUAGCGAACAGG
rnacentral:rRNA from 1 species